rnacentral:rRNA from 1 species
UACGUAGGGCGCAAGCGUUGUCCGGAAUUAUUGGGCGUAAAGAGCUCGUAGGCGGCUUGUCGCGUCGGAUGUGAAAGCUCGAGGCUUAACCUCGGGUCUGCAUCCGAUACGGGCAGGCUAGAGGCAGGUAGGGGAGAACGGAAUUCCCGGUGUAGCGGUGAAAUGCGCAGAUAUCGGGAGGAACACCGGUGGCGAAGGCGGUUCUCUGGGCCUGUACUGACGCUGAGGAGCGAAAGCGUGGGGAGCGAACAGG